rnacentral:miRNA from 1 species
AGUGGUUCUCUUGUGGCUCAAG